GGGGGCGAAAUGGUUUCGACGGGGGAAGUUGUGGCAGGAUAAGCGAGCCGGGGUUCCAUCAGCCCGUUAAACGGUGGACAGUUAAUAUAACUGCCAACGAAGAAAAUUACGCUCUAGCUGCCUAAUUGCAGCUAGCAUCCCACCCGCACUUGCCUGUGGAGCGGAUCAUGGGGUGUCAUAUUAGCAGGCUUACUCUUUAGCCAAUUCUCGGAGGCUAAAGAGGACAUUCAUCGAGAUAGCUCCAGCGAAGCCUGGUUGUGGGCGCCAACGGAGCGAAGUUUAAAACACAAUCUAUGCUCGUAGAAGGUCUUGUGGCUCUUCUUUCGGACGGUGGGUUCAACUCCCCCCGCCUCCACCA
rnacentral:tmRNA from 1 species